GCUACUGUCAACAACAAAGGUUAUGUAAGACAAUGGAGAGGAUAACUGCGCAAAGACGCUCAUUUGGCUUUGCCGGCUCCUCUGGUGACUGAGUGACAGGUCAGCUGGUGCAGCAGGAGGGUGAGAGAGCCACCCCUCUUCACAGGGUCAGUGGGACUUGUACCCUGGACAUGACCCCGAGUGACCCCCAGACUCACUGGUACCCACCUGGACCCGACCAGACCGGACUGGAACCGAUCGCUGUCCCCCAGAGGAGGCCAGGCAGGGCAGGCGUGUGAGGGACCGGAUGUACAGAAAAUGUAAAUGGACCUGCUACAUUGACCCUGAUUAUCCACAGCUCAUCCAUGGAUCAUCUGCUCAGAGUGAAAAGGGUCUGUGUCCUGGAGAUGUAGAGGUCCUGGAGAGAUGGAAGGAUACAGUAUAUCAGCAGAGUGCUGUCGUCUUUGUCCCUGGUGACCCAGGUGUACCACACCCUGAUCGAGGAGGUGAUGGCUUUGUAGAACUGCACCAGCAUCUGGGCUGGCAGCUUGGUUUUCAUCAGCUACCACAGAAAAUACAAAAUCUAUUGGGCCCUGUAGAGAUCCUGUGCUUGUCUGAUUGCAAGACAUUCUACCCCAACUGUCCAACAGUUAUUCAGUGAUCCACCUGCAGCUGUAGUCGGGCAUGCUGAGCUAGGAGAGCUUGUCUUGAGCAUUAUGGUAGAAGCUAAUGAUUAUUGAAAGUUCAUUGACAAUUUUUUCUAACUACACAGAUGAGUUGAGAUGAGAGGAUGCUUUCGAUUUUGAACUUUCCAACCCACAUCAGAAAUUCAUUGCCCCUGCAGCCUCCCCACUUUGAUGACCCAAACCAGUCGUGUCCUGAAGAUCCCAGUGGACCAUGGGCUGUGCGUGUCCCGGGCUGUUGCAGGGAUCAGCUCAGAGCCGACAGCUGUGUGAAUCCUCAUUAGACACAGUGGUAAUGGCGGCAGGACGGGACAGCCUAAACACUCCAAAGCACGGCCUGGGACGCUGCUCUGCUGUGGCGAUGUCUCAAACCACCACCCCCCUCCAUGGUACAACCACUAUAAUGUCAUCUGCACUGCUAUUGUCAGAGGGAAAAUGGCCAUAAAUUGUACUCAAAGUAAGUCUGUAGAGUUAGUUCAAAAUAAUAUGACUCAAGUACAAAGUAGUAGUUCAAGAGAUAACUCAAAUAAGGGUAAGAGUAUUUGGGGAGGAGAGUAAUUGACUGUCUGGGUGUAAUGUAAUUGGAUAGAGCUAAUGAAAUUGGAUGGACAAACACUUUUCUGAUGUGGGUCCACAGUGUUCCAUAGUAUGGCAUUAAUGCUGUG